rnacentral:rRNA from 1 species
AGCUUGCUAAUAAUUCUCUAGUGGCGCACGGGUGAGUAACACGUGAGUACCUGCCCCCAAGAGUGGGAUAGCCCCGGGAAACUGGGAUUAAUACCGCAUAAAGCAAUAAAGCAGCAAUGCGCUUGGGGAUGGGCUCGCGUCCUAUUAGUUAGUUGGUGAGGUAACGGCUCACCAAGGCGAUGACGGGUAGCCGGUCUGAGAGGAUGUCCGGCCACACUGGAACUGAGACACGGUCCAGACACCUACGGGUGGCAGCAGUCGAGAAUCAUUCACAAUGGGGGAAACCCUGAUGGUGCGACGCCGCGUGGGGGAUAAGGUCUUCGGAUUGUAAACCCCUGUCAUGUGGGACAUUAAAAGAUAGUACCACAAGAGGAAGAGACGGCUAACUCUGUGCCAGCAGCCGCGGUAAUACAGAGGUCUCAAGCGUUGUUCGGAAUCACUGGGCGUAAAGCGUGCGUAGGCGGUUUCGUAAGUCGUGUGUGAAAGGCGGGGGCUCAACCCCCGGACUGCACAUGAUACUGCGAGACUAGAGUAAUGGAGGGGGAACCGGAAUUCUCGGUGUAGCAGUGAAAUGCGUAGAUAUCGAGAGGAACACUCGUGGCGAAGGCGGGUUCCUGGACAUUAACUGACGCUGAGGCACGAAGGCCAGGGGAGCGAAAGGGAUUAGAUACCCCUGUAGUCCUGGC